UACGGAGGGGGCUAGCGUUGUUCGGAAUUACUGGGCGUAAAGCGCACGUAGGCGGAUAUUUAAGUCAGGGGUGAAAUCCCGGGGCUCAACCCCGGAACUGCCUUUGAUACUGGGUAUCUGGAGGUCGAGAGAGGCGAGUGGAAUUCCGAGUGUAGAGGUGAAAUUCGUAGAUAUUCGGAGGAACACCAGUGGCGAAGGCGGCUCGCUGGCUCGAUACUGACGCUGAGGUGCGAAAUCGUGGGGAGCAAACAGG
rnacentral:rRNA from 1 species